GACGAACGCUGGCGGCGUGCUUAACACAUGCAAGUCGAACGAUGAACCACUUCGGUGGGGAUUAGUGGCGAACGGGUGAGUAACACGUGGGCAAUCUGCCCUGCACUCUGGGACAAGCCCUGGAAACGGGGUCUAAUACCGGAUACUGACCCGCUUGGGCAUCCAAGCGGUUCGAAAGCUCCGGCGGUGCAGGAUGAGCCCGCGGCCUAUCAGCUUGUUGGUGAGGUAAUGGCUCACCAAGGCGACGACGGGUAGCCGGCCUGAGAGGGCGACCGGCCACACUGGGACUGAGACACGGCCCAGACUCCUACGGGAGGCAGCAGUGGGGAAUAUUGCACAAUGGGCGAAAGCCUGAUGCAGCGACGCCGCGUGAGGGAUGACGGCCUUCGGGUUGUAAACCUCUUCAGCAGGGAAGAAGCGAAAUUGACGUACCCGCAGAAG
rnacentral:rRNA from 1 species